GUGACAUCUUGUUAUAAACAGUCAAGCUGAGCGAUGCUGCUGGAAGGAUGGGCCGAAGGAGAUCUGGGACCAUCAUCAAAACCAAGGGCCUCCUUUGGUAGUGUAGUCCAUAGAGCUCAGUCUGGUUGGACUCUCUAAAAUCAGACAGGAAGCCAAACGAUCUCUAAACUCUGACUCACGGAAGCAGGAGACAGAGCUGACAGCCUCCAGCCAGCCCCAGGUAUGUGGACUGCAGAUCUGCAUUCAGCGCUCACUGACCCCCAGCUGCCAUCCCUACUGCAUGACCGCAUGGUAUCUGCACAGCAGAUACAGUAUGAAACUGGGAAAGACAAACAGAAAUUACAGUAAAUUGAAUGAAAUAACCAGCCCUAGAUGAACAUUUGCCAUAAUCAAUCUACACAGUAAAUAACCAACCUUGGUAGAAAAUGGAAACACUUCUGUUUAAGAAGCCAUGCGAAGUUACACAAUGACCUGCAAUCAUUCAUGAAAUUGUGCACUGACUCAUAUGCCAGCACCUUCCAGAAAACUGCCCAAGGGAAAUCAGAACAGGCCUUCAGAGUGGAUGGUUCUUCUCCUGGUCUCAUUAAGGAUCACUCAGAUGUGAUAUCUGAGGCUGAGGAGGGGUCUAUCCUGCUGAAAUUAAUUUUUGAAAAG
ensembl:lncRNA